CUUGGAUUUUGCUCAGACACGCACUGUCAACUGUGGGACCCUAUAUAGACAGGUUCAGCGCCCCUGGAGCACAUUUGGUGUUAAGUGCCUGUUAGGUGCCUUGCUCAAGGUCACAUUGACAGAUUUUUCAUCUUGUCUGCUACAGAUGAUCACUUCACACAAUCCAACUCCUAGCCUGACUGAACAUGAGAUGGAUGGGACACAUUAUCAUACCUUGGACACCUUCAGUUUGGUAUCCUCAGAGAUGGCAGAGAAGUCAGCUGUGUCACCGAAGGCACUGACCACACCCAUGUCCUUCAGAUGAUCUCCCAGGGAGUACGAGGUAGAGGUGGAGAACUUGGGCAUGAAGAUAUCCACAUUGCUGAAAGAAAGAUUAUCAUACACUGAGUUUACAGUAUCAUCACAAAGAAACGUGCAAGAUCCUGCAGCUCGCAAAUAAAUGCCAGCCACAUUCAAAUGUUAAUCUGCAUUAAUAAUCUCUAUAUAUGAUACAAUCUGAUGCUUAUUGCAAACUUUGUCUUGUCAGCUGAUAAACAGACUACCCUGACCUUAUGUUAAGAAUAGAUACAAAUAAAUAAUAUAAAAAGAAUAGACAACAUUAUACUGAAAAGGUGCCCAAUACAAAAUUGUACAAAAAAUCUACUCUCCUUAACUCCUGAAGAGGAUGUAGUACUACACUGACCAUAUAUACCAUGAAUGAAUAGAGAACGUUACAUUAGAAAAGUAUAUGAAAUAAUGUGUUCUCACGUCCUGAACAGGUGCUCGUGCACGUGCUUCAGGUAGUCCUUGUUGAUGAAGGCCUCCACAUGCUCCAUCUUUCCAUCGUUGGGCAGGACCACCAUCAUUGAGGAGUUGCC